UACAGACCGCCCAUGGCGUGGACGGCAACGACAGCAGGAGGACGCCAGUUCUGGUCGGGAACAUGGCCUUAUCCUACUCGAGGAGGAGGGACGCACCUAGGCACCGGCCCUGUCCGGCAACAAGGGGUCUGCUCCUCUGCUUCCAAGGCAACCAAGUUGCCCUGCCUGAGUUUGACGAGUCCAGCCCGGCCAUGACCAUGCACCGCUCCCAGUAGGAGGGGCUGCUUCUGCUGCUGGAUGUCGGCCUGUCGAUGCACCGGGCGCUGCAGGAGGUCGAGAAUGUCUGCACCACCCUCGUGCGGAAGAAGGCAAGCAACACGCUCUUUCCAUCCGAAAAUUUGUGAUUGACCCAACCCAAUACAAAUGCAAGCGUCUGUUAAUCUGCCUUUGCGUUUUUUGUACUCUACAACUGGCUUUUCAUAGGAGCGACGAGGUUGGCGUUGUCCUGUUUGGAACUAACGGACUGUUCCUGCAUUUGUGGUAACAGAACUUUGCGUGUACAUUAGGACUUCAAAUAUUGCGGGUCCAUCAUGUGACUAACUUCCUACUUAUUAGUUUUUUUCCUGUUAACUAGAAAACCUUUUCUUGUUUUCUUGUUCACUCCAGUAUAUAGUAGGUUUUAAUGUAUUGGUGAACUGAAUGUAACUUCUAUUUCUAGCGGCCUGUAUAUGUAUGGUCCUGAUUAAUGUCACUCCAAGGAAGCCUUACAGUACAUAUGUUUGCACUGAACAAGUGUAUUUAUGGUUCAGAAUGGAAAACAAUCAAACAAGUUAUUGUUUUCCUCCUUAGCAUGCAUCUAGUCUUUAGGGAAUAUUUGUUCUGAAGUCAUUACUGCACUAUAUUUAGCUAUGCCAUCCCAGUGCUUGAGUCCUGAUAACAUCCAAGAACAGUAUCUGGGACUGGCUUGCAUUUAUGCUUCUCAAAAUUGAAAACUGUGCUACUUAACUUUUUACCUGAUGUGGCUAGCUUCCUACUUAUCAGUUUUUGCCUUGUUAAUAACUAGAAAACCUUUUCUUGUUAUUUUUCACUACGGCAUGUAGGUUUUAAUGCAAUGGUGAACUGAAUGUAACUUCUAUUUCCAAGGGCCUGUAUAUGUUUGGUCCUCAUUAAUGUCACUUCAGGGAAGCCUUACAGUACAUAUGUAUGCACUGGACAAGUGUACAUAUAUAAUUUCCUGGUAUAUGUGAACUACACAUCAGCUUACAUGCUUGUGUUUUCAGUUUUACAUGAUUAAGUAGACCAGCUUGACACAAGUACUAUAUUGUCUGUAUUGUGUUGAGGCAUGUUGCAUAGUAGGUUUCUCGUGUUGAUUUAUUCAUGUCUGUGUUUAAGAGCUGAAUUUAGAUGUUGGGUUUGGCAGGAGAGCGAGGGGGUGGUCACCAAGAAGGAAGGCAUUGACUUUAUGUCUAUCUGGAAUGCAUCGUGAAGACCAAAGUGAAUGUGGAGUAGUGCUUUGAGGAGGUUGUACUGAAGAUUGUAGGCACGCCGAGCCUACUGGCGGAUGCUUCUUCAGGGGCAAAGAAGAAAUCUUCAAGAAGAAGGUGCCCGAAGCUGAUGCCGCGGCGAUUGACUGAUGUUUACAUGUUGGGUCACGAUGAAAAUCAUUUGUUGUUGCAGAAAGUUAUAUGAGCAACAUUGCUGAUGGCGAUGGGUACGUGAUGGUGGCUAGUGUGGUGGACGACCCAGAAUAUGUGGCCCCACAAGUGCACAUGUAUGUAGCUUUCCUCCUCAAAUGCUUCUGCUUCUGCCCCAGCUAUUAAGCUAAUCAACAACAAAUCUUGUGUGUAAAACCAUUCUUAAGCCUGAAUGGUACUUUUCUUGUUUUUUGUUAUUUUUGUUCCUACGAAAAGUCUGCUCUCUUUAGCUCAUGCUCGUUACCUCAUCCCCUCAUGUUUCACAAGAAGAUGAUAAACCUUUUUAAGAUCAUGGUGAUUAAGCUGACUUUCCAUGUAUGCUCUCACAAUUUAAACUAAUUUUGCGUGCGUCUUCCAUGCAUGUUUGCAGCUACAUCUCUGGGUACAAGAACCAGUUCCAGAACUUCAUCAAGCACCUGCGCGAAAAGGGUGAUGAGGUAGUACAUUUUUCUACUAUCAUUGGUUGAGUACUACUGAAUACUGAUGCUGAUGCUGAUUAGUAGCAUGCAUGUUUGACUUAGUUUCUGGUGUGGAUAUGCAAUGUGACUCACAAUUCCUAGCUGUGCAUACUGUAUACUGUUGACUGUAGUGUGGUACACUUCCUGGAGCAUUGUAAUGCCUUACCAAGUAGCAAUUGCAUGAAGAUACUCGACAACACAAAAAGUAUGUGUAAUGUAUCCAUGACUUACAAUCUGUACGCGAAUACCAUGUGUAAUGGCUCUUAUUUUUUGCAUCGUCUGAACAUUCUUUUUUGCUGCUGUAUUGUUUCUCACUCACGAUUGAUCUACUGCCAGGUGAAGGUUUUCAAAUGUUGGAGGAGGAGGACAAUAGGAACUUCUGUGAUGUCUUGUCAUCUAUUUUAUUUUCUUUGCUGUAGAAUAGUUUUGUGUGGCACUUAUUCGUUCCUUGGAUGUAAAGAUAUGUACUGCUAGAAUGAAUGCAUGUAAAGAUAUUUUGGGCUCCUAUAACAUUCCAUGUUGCUUUGAAAAUGUAUCGGAACUGGGCUAGGCCCAAGAUAGCUUGUAGUGUGAUGUGUUGUAAUGUCAAUGGCAUAAUAAAAAAAGUUGGAUUGGAUCAAUUA